rnacentral:rRNA from 1 species
UGGGACCACCUGAAUCCAUGCCGAACUCAGCAGUGAAACGCCGUCGCGCCGAUGGUAGUGUGGGGCCUCCCCAUGCGAGAGUAGGGCACUGCCA